rnacentral:rRNA from 1 species
GAGUUUGAUCAUGGCUCAGAACGUACGCUGGCGGCACGCCUAACACAUGCAAGUCGAACGAAGUAGCAAUACUUAGUGGCAGACGGGUGAGUAACAUGUAGGUAUCUGCCCUUUGGCCUGGAAUAACACGAGGAAACUUGUGCUAAUACCGGAUAAGUCUUUACGGAGAAAGCUUUAUGCACCAUUGGAUGAGCCUGCACUUGAUUAGUUUGUUGGUGGGGUAAUGGCCUACCAAGACUGUGAUCAAUAGCUGAUUUGAGAGGAUGAUCAGCCACAUUGGGACUGAGACACGGCCCAAACUCCUACGGGAGGCAGCAGUGGGGAAUCUUGCACAAUGGAGGAAACUCUGAUGCAGCGAUGCCGCGUGAGUGAAGAAGGCCCUUGGGUUGUAAAGCUCUUUCGUCGGGGAAGAAAAUGACUGUACCCGAAUAAGAAGGUCCGGCUAACUUCGUGCCAGCAGCCGCGGUAAUACGAAGGGACCUAGCGUAGUUCGGAAUUACUGGGCUUAAAGAGUUCGUAGGUGGUUGAAAAAGUUAGUGGUGAAAUCCCAGAGCUUAACUCUGGAACUGCCAUUAAAACUUUUCAGCUAGAGUAUGAUAGAGGAAAGCAGAAUUUCUAGUGUAGAGGUGAAAUUCGUAGAUAUUAGAAAGAAUACCAAUUGCGAAGGCAGCUUUCUGGAUCAUUACUGACACUGAGGAACGAAAGCAUGGGUAGCGAAGAGGAUUAGAUACCCUCGUAGUCCAUGCCGUAAACGAUGUGUGUUAGACGUUGGAAAUUUAUUUUCAGUAUCGCAGGGAAACCGAUAAACACACCGCCUGGGGAGUACGACCGCAAGGUUAAAACUCAAAUGAAUUGACGGGGACCCGCACAAGUAGUGGAGCAUGUGGUUUAAUUCGAAGAUACGCGCAGAACCUUACCAACACUUGACAUGUUCGUCGCGACUCUAAGAGAUUAGAGUUUUCGGUUCGGCCGGACGAAACACAGGUGCUGCAUGGCUGUCGUCAGCUCGUGUCGUGAGAUGUUGGGUUAAGUCCCGCAACGAGCGCAACCCUCACUUUUAGUUGCCAUCAUUAAGUUGGGCACUCUGAAAGAACUGCCAGUGAUAAGCUGGAGGAAGGUGGGGAUGACGUUAAGUCCUCAUGGCCCUUACGUGUUGGGCUACACACGUGCUACAAUGGUAUCUACAACAGGAAGCAAAACUGCGAAGUUAAGCAAAUCCCUAAAAGAUACCUCAGUUCGGAUUGCACUCUGCAACUCGAGUGCAUGAAGCUGGAAUUACUAGUAAUCGUGGAUCAGCGUGCCACGGUGAAUGCGUUCCCGGGUCUUGUACACACCGCCCGUCACACCAUGGGAGUUGGUUCUACCUUAAGGCAAGGUUUCAAACCCUUGACCACGGUGUAGUCAGCGACUGGGGUGAAGUCGUAACAAGGUAACC